rnacentral:rRNA from 1 species
AACGAACGCUGGCGGCAUGCCUAACACAUGCAAGUCGAACGAGACCUUCGGGUCUAGUGGCGCACGGGUGCGUAACGCGUGGGAACCUGCCCUUAGGUUCGGAAUAACUCCCCGAAAGGGGUGCUAAUACCGGCUAAUGUCUUCGGACCAAAGAUUUAUCGCCUUUGGAUGGGCCCGCGUGGGAUUAGCUAGUUGGUAGGGUAAAAGCCUACCAAGGCGACGAUCCAUAGCUGGUCUGAGAGGAUGAUCAGCCACACUGUGACUGAGACACGGCCCAGAAUCCUACGGGAGGCAGCAGUGGGGAAUAUUGGACAAUGGGCGAAAGCAUGAUCCAGCAAUGCCGCGUGAGUGAUGAAGGCCGUAGGGUUGGAAAGCUAUUUUACCCGGGAUGAUAAUGACAGUACCGGGAGAAUAAGCACCGGCUAACUCCGUG